CUUAACUUCCACCUAAUAAAUCCUUUUCAUUGUCAUUCAUUAAUAAUUUAUAAAAUAAAAAAUAAUUGAUGGAUAAUUUUAUUAGAAAAAAAAUGCAUAAAAUGCCUCAUGUAGCUCUGAAUAAUUUGUGUAAAAACGUUUAUUAGUUUCUUCCCAAAUAAGCUCUUUUUGACAAAAUAUUAUUCCAGAAUAAGUUAACAGUUCGACGCUCACGGGCGGUGACCACACUCCAAAAGGUUCCCCGUUUAAAGCCGCGGGG
rnacentral:lncRNA from 1 species